CAUGCAAGUCGAACGAAGCAUUUAAGACAGAUUACUUCGGUUUGAAGUCUUUUAUGACUGAGUGGCGGACGGGUGAGUAACGCGUGGGUAACCUGCCUCAUACAGGGGGAUAGCAGCUGGAAACGGCUGGUAAUACCGCAUAAGCGCACAGUACCACAUGGUACAGUGUGAAAAACUCCGGUGGUAUGAGAUGGACCCGCGUCUGAUUAGCUAGUUGGCGGGGUAACGGCCCACCAAGGCGACGAUCAGUAGCCGACCUGAGAGGGUGACCGGCCACAUUGGGACUGAGACACGGCCCAGACUCCUACGGGAGGCAGCAGUGGGGAAUAUUGCACAAUGGAGGAAACUCUGAUGCAGCGACGCCGCGUGAGUGAAGAAGUAGUUCGCUAUGUAAAGCUCUAUCAGCAGGGAAGAUAGUGACGGUACCUGACUAAGAAGCUCCGGCUAAAUACGUGCCAGCAGCCGCGGUAAUACGUGUGGAGCAAGCGUUAUCCGGAUUUACUGGGUGUAAAGGGAGUGUAGGUGGCCAGGCAAGUCAGAAGUGAAAGCCCGGGGCUCAACCCCGGGACUGCUUUUGAAACUGCAGGG
rnacentral:rRNA from 1 species